ACACAACUCUGGAGAGUCCCGCAAGGGCGCCGAAGGUGCACGGUUACAGAUUUUAAUGUAAUCUUAUCUCUCAGGCAAAAGGACAGAGACAA
rnacentral:ncRNA from 1 species